rnacentral:rRNA from 1 species
GGCAUGCUUUACACAUGCAAGUCGAACGGUAACAGGGUGCUUGCACCGCUGACGAGUGGCGAACGGGUGAGUAAUGCAUCGGAAUGUACCGUGUAAUGGGGGAUAGCUCGGCGAAAGCCGGAUUAAUACCGCAUACGCCCUGAGGGGGAAAGUGGGGGACCGUAAGGCCUCACGUUAUACGAGCAGCCGAUGUCUGAUUAGCUAGUUGGUGGGGUAAAGGCUCACCAAGGCUUCGAUCAGUAGCGGGUCUGAGAGGAUGAUCCGCCACACUGGGACUGAGACACGGCCCAGACUCCUACGGGAGGCAGCAGUGGGGAAUUUUGGACAAUGGGCGCAAGCCUGAUCCAGCCAUGCCGCGUGUCUGAAGAAGGCCUUCGGGUUGUAAAGGACUUUUGUCCGGGAGCAAAUCCCAGUGGUUAAUACCUACUGGGGCUGAGAGUACCGGAAGAAUAAGCACCGGCUAACUACGUGCCAGCAGCCGCGGUAAUACGUAGGGUGCAAGCGUUAAUCGGAAUUACUGGGCGUAAAGCGUGCGCAGGCGGUUGUGCAAGUCUGAUGUGAAAGCCCCGGGCUUAACCUGGGAACGGCAUUGGAGACUGCACGACUAGAGUGCGUCAGAGGGGGGUAGAAUUCCGCGUGUAGCAGUGAAAUGCGUAGAGAUGCGGAGGAAUACCGAUGGCGAAGGCAGCCCCCUGGGAUGACACUGACGCUCAUGCACGAAAGCGUGGGGAGCAAACAG